AUUGAACGCUGGCGGCAGGCCUAAUACAUGCAAGUCGAACGAGUGGCGGACGGGUGCGUAAUGUCUGGGAAACUGCCUGAUGGCGGGGGAUAACUACGGGAAACGGUGGCUAAUACAGCAUACCAUCAGAUGGGCCCAGAUGGGAUUAGCUAGUGGGUGGGGUAACGGCGCACCAAGGCGACGAUCCCUAGCUGGGCUGAGAGGAUGACCAGCCACACGGGAACUGAGACACGGUCCAGACUCCUACGGGAGGCAGCAGUGGGGAAUAUUGCACAAUGGUCGCAAGCCUGAUGCAGCCAUGCCGCGUGUAUGAAGAAGGCCUUCGGGUUGUAAAGUACUUUCAGCGGGGAGGCGUUACCCGCAGAGGAAGCACCGGCUAACUCCGUGCCAGCAGCCGCGGUAAUUC
rnacentral:rRNA from 1 species